GUCGGCAUACGAGUAAAAUGCCCUGAUUGCGGUGAAAACAUUCUGUCCUGUGACAGCAGAGAGCAUUCUGCCACCCAUCUACGGGAUGACAAUUUUUUUUUGUCCAGAAGGGGCAAAAAUAACCUACGAAAG